rnacentral:rRNA from 2 species
CACGCCGUAAACGAUGGGGACUAGGUGCUUGGGGGAACGACCCCUCGAGUGCCGGCGCUAACGCAUUAAGUCCCCCGCCUGGGGAGUACGGCCGCAAGGCUGAAACUCAAAGGAAUUGACGGGGGCCCGCACAAGCGGUGGAGCAUGUGGUUUAAUUCGACGCAACGCGAAGAACCUUACCCAGGCUUGACAUGUACGAGAAAGCCUCUGGAAACAGGGGCCCCUCUUCGGAGCUCGUGCACAGGUGC